rnacentral:rRNA from 1 species
GACGAACGCUGGCGGCGUGCUUAACACAUGCAAGUCGAACGGUAAGGCCCUUCGGGUACGACGAGUGGCGAACGGGUGAGUAACACGUGGGUGAUCUGCCCUGCACUUCGGGAUAAGCUUGGGAAACUGGGUCUAAUACCGGAUAGGACCACGGUCUGCAUGGAUUGUGGUGGAAAGCUUUUGCGGUGUGGGAUGGGCCCGCGGCCUAUCAGCUUGUUGGUGGGUGAUGGCCUACCAAGGCGACGACGGGUAGCCGGCCUGAGAGGGUGUCCGGCCACACUGGGACUGAGAUACGGCCCAGACUCCUACGGGAGGCAGCAGUGGGGAAUAUUGCACAAUGGGCGCAAGCCUGAUGCAGCGACGCCGCGUGGGGGAU